UACGUAGGGACCAAGCGUUGUUCGGAAUUACUGGGCGUAAAGGGCGCGUAGGCGGCCCGCUAAGUCGAACGUGAAAUCCCCGAGCUCAACUCGGGAACUGCGUCCGAUACUGGCGGGCUUGAAUCCGGGAGAGGGAUGCGGAAUUCCAGGUGUAGCGGUGAAAUGCGUAGAUAUCUGGAGGAACACCGGUGGCGAAGGCGGCAUCCUGGACCGGCAUUGACGCUGAGGCGCGAAAGCGUGGGGAGCAAACAGG
rnacentral:rRNA from 1 species